AUCUCGUAUCUGCUUUCUGAAUAUUUCUCUUUGGCUUCUAUACUUCUGUGUGGCUGCUUGCCUACUUAAGAGUGGUUGAGAGAAGAAAAAAAAUAAUGGAUAAUGGUAUCAUUCAUGAAACAUGCAAGUUACCAUUGGUUAUAUACGGCUAGGAUGUGUCAAGAACAGAAGGAUCACCAACACAUCAUGAAGCAGAAGUAUACGGUGGUUCAUAUAGUUUUCCUUUCAGUACCUUACUGAUAGUGCUACUAAACAAUCGAUCUCUAAGCACAUUAUAGCUGGGAACACUAGCCACACCAAAAAUGUACACCAAUAAGUUGAUGCAACAACAGCACACCUCCCUCUGCUCUGCUGUACAUGCAGGAACAACUAAUCUUCAGCUGCAGCUUAAUUUCUGUCAAAUGCUUGUGUGCCCUCCUAAACAUUCGCAAUUGUGCGGCUGCCAUGUGGGGUCGGUAUUGGGUGUGUCCAUCAUGACCAUAUGUGAUCAUCUGUGAGUCAUGAAUUAGGACCACAAAACCAUUUUAUUACUGUCCUAAUAUUUGUGAUAACUUUUCUGAAAGAUACAGGGAAGGAACUUUAUUUAGAAGAGCAACAAUAGAGGUCAGGCUGUGAGCGAGACAGAUGCUCAUGAGGCAGCCACGACAAGACAAUUACAACCCAACUCGCAAGUAAAACACACAUCACAUCUGCGGGAGGAUGAUAUGAGAUAGAUUAUAUCUGUUGGUUAGACCAUCAAGGAUUUAGGGUGUUUAUAUUCAAAGGAUGUUCUGAUAAAUUGGUCAUCCUUUCCAUAGGCAUCGUCUUUUGAAUACAUGAGAUUAUAUGCAUGCUUAAUAUUUUUAAUUUUAAUCAUGAAGGAGUUCAUUGUGAGGGUCCCAAGGAGUACGUCCACUUGGACGAGGAUGCUUAUUGCCCUGUUGUCUUCCACGACAUGUGUAGGCUACUGCGGUGCAAGGAUCUCGAUGUCGCCCAAGUCACUCUUUUUGUCCUGUAAGUUAGUACAACCUUGCAUUGCUGUAGGUAUGCAAAUUCAUUACGAUCAAGCUAAAAAGCCUGUACAACAACUUGCGUUCGUAGGAUGCAGUCAUAUGUGUGCAAGGAACUAGAUAAAAAUAUUAUCUAUCUAUCUCCUAUGCAUAUUUCCCAAAGGGCCAUCAUUGGCUUUGAUAUACCAGACACGGAUCCUAGGCUGGUGAAGCUGAAGGGGAUGCAGUGAGUGCUAGCUCGGAACUUGAUGCAAGAGGAAAUCAAGUUUAGAAAAGGACAAUAUGUCUUAGAAGCCAUGAAGAAUAUAAGGGGAAAUGGGUGCAUCCUUGCCGCCCACUAGUUUGGGUAAGUCAAAACGAUUCUUGCAAUAGCUACUAGGUUUGCCCCUUUUUAUAUUUGAAGAUUUGAGAUCAUUAUUGUUUCAAUGGUACAACUUGGGCGUCAUGGGCCACUGGAUUGUAUUUAUGAUCUAGCC
rnacentral:lncRNA from 1 species